AAUACAAAACCCCAGCCCUCUUCUACAAAAUCCCUGCAGCCCCACACACACAUUUACAGGUAGACAGUCACACACAGUCACAGGCAGACAGUCACACACAGUCACAGGCAGACAGUCACACACAGUCACAGGCAGACAGUCACACAUACACAUUUCCUCCGUGCGGCCAGUUUAUCAGCUGUUUGCUUGUGUGAGCUGUAC